rnacentral:rRNA from 1 species
AAACGAUUGGAGUCUUAUCACGUCCAUCGGACUCAGCCGGGGCCUUCCCGGUGUACUUCCUUUGGACGGGUCAGCAUCGGUUCUGGCCGGCGGACAAUGGCGGUGGGAAUGUGGCACCCUCGUGGUGUGUUAUAGCCCUCUGUCACAUACGCCGGCUGGGACCGAGGACCGCAGCUCGCCCUCACGGGCCGGGGUUCGCCCACGUACCGAGCUUAGGAUGCUGGCGCAAGCGCUCUAAACGA